rnacentral:rRNA from 1 species
GACGAACGCUGGCGGCAUGCCUAACACAUGCAAGUCUAGGGGUAGCAAUACCACUGGCGCACGGGUGAGUAACACGUAGGUUAUCUGCCCCCAUCACAGACAUAACCCCGGGAAACCGGGGCUAAUAUCUGAUGAGGUCGCGAGAUCAAAGCUUCGGCGGAUGGGGAUGAGCCUGCGGCUGAUUAGCUAGUUGGUGAGGUAAUGGCUCACCAAGGCGACGAUCAGUAGCUGGUCUGAGAGGACGAACAGCCACACUGGAACUGAGACACGGUCCAGACUCCUACGGGAGGCAGCAGUCGAGAAUUCUUCUCAAUGGGGGAAACCCUGAAGGAGCGACGCCGCGUGGGGGAUGAAUGGCUUCGGCCCGUAAACCCCUGUCAUUUGCGAACAAUCCCGUUUGUUUAAUAAACAAACGGUUGCUAGUAGCGAAAGAGGAAGGGACGGCUAACUCUGUGCCAGCAGCCGCGGUAAU